GACCCUCCUGUGCUCUGCUGACAAUGGACUGGAGCAGUUACACCCGGGGCAAUUCCGGGCUGGGAUUUUGAUAUUUAUUAGGAUUUUUUGGGAUCCCUGGGAGCUUUUUUGGGAUCUCCUGAGGAAGGGCAGGAUGGACAUUGGGUCUCUCUGGGGUUUUUGGGAUCCCUGCCUGGUCUGGGACCCUCCUGUGCUCUGCUGAGAAAGGUGAAGAUGCAGCUGCACCUGGGGCAAUUCCCUACACCUGGCGCAGUUCCGGGCUGGGAUUUUGGGGUCUUUUAGGAUUUUUUGGGAUCCCUGGGAGCCUUUCCAAGGUCUCCUGAGGAAGGGCAGGGUGGGCACGGUCUCUCUCUGGGGUUUUUGGGAUUCCUGCCUGGCUUGGGACCCUCCUGAGAAACGGGAAGAUGCAGCUGCACCUGAGGCAAUUCCCUACACCUGGCACAGUUCUGGGCUGGGAUUUUGGGGCAUUUUUGGAUUUUUUGGGGUCCCUGGGAGCCUUUCCAAGGUCUCCUGAGGAAGGGCAGGGUGGGCACGGUCUCUCUCUGGGGUUUUUGGGAUCCCUGCCUGGUUUGGGACCCUCCUGUGCUCUGCUGAGAAAGGUGAAGAUGCAGCUGCACCUGGGGCAAUUCCCUACACCUGGCGCAGUUCC
rnacentral:lncRNA from 12 species